UCUGUAAACUUUGUGUAUGGGGCACCGCUUCUCAGAAAGCUCUCAGUGAGAUGUUGUGGGUUUGAAACCCAAACACCUUCCUGAUAAGAGGCAGAGAUGUGAUAUGCCACGCCAUCACAUCUUUAGCUCUGCCUGUGUGUUCCUGCACUUACCAAUAAAUAACCAAACACGAAUCAACUUGUAUAUUUUGACUCUGAUCAGUGAGCCAGACCACCGGUGAAAAUGUCUGUGAAGAUCCUCUCCAUCACUCUCCUCCUGCUCUCGGUGUGUGUGUGCUUCAGCUACUCUGCAGCUGGUCCUGGAAGUAAACGCCCGUGCUGCAUUGUCGUCACCAACAUGGAUAAGUGCGCCGAGGUGGUGGGGGAAACAUAUCGUCAGCAGGCUGCAAGAGGACGCUGUGUGAAGGCUAUAAUUUUCAACACAAAAACAGGACAGCUUUGUGCUGAUCCAAACACUCAGUGGGUCAAGCAUCUCACUGCCAGAAUGAGGAAGGUGUGAAGCAUAAAGUCUGUGGUGAAGCAUCGCUGCCUGUCUGCUACAUCAGUGUUUUCUUUAGCCUCACCUUUAAAGUCUUAUUCAUACCAGAGAACUUUCUUAUUGUAACUUUAUUAUAACCUUUUUCACAUUAGUAGAUUAGGAUUUUUACUCUUACCUGUAGAGUAACCCUGUAUUUUAUUCUUAGCGUCGACUUUCAUGAAACAAAUUGUUUUUAAGGGAUCUUUAUUUUUAAAUGGAGUUCCAGCUUUUUCCCCUGCUUACUCUGUGUUUAUGUGAUUUAAAAAAAUAAAAAUAAAAAAGGUGUCUGGCACAGCUGUGAGUCAUCAUUAUAUUGUGC